CUUAGCCUACGGGGGGCAGCAGUGGGGAAUAUUGCACAAUGGGGGAAACCCUGAUGCAGCGACGCCGCGUGAGUGAAGAAGUAUCUCGGUACGUAAAGCUCUAUCAGCAGGGAAGAAAAAAAGUCUUUGGCUUUGGACGGUACCUGACUAAGAAGCCCCGGCUAACUACGUGCCAGCAGCCGCGGUAAUACGUAGGGGGCAAGCGUUAUCCGGAUUUACUGGGUGUAAAGGGAGAGUAGACGGCAGCGCAGGUAUGGAGUGAAAUGCCGGGGCUCAUCGCCGGAACUGCUUUGGAAACUGUGCAG
rnacentral:rRNA from 1 species